GACGGAAGGUGCAAGCGUUGCUCGGAAUCACUGGGCGUAAAGGGUGCGUAGGCGGCCGUGCAAGUCUGGCGUGAAAGCCCCGGGCUCAACCCUGGGAUGCCGGUGGAUACUGUCGGACUAGAGUACGGAAGAGGCGAGUGGAAUUCCCGGUGUAGCGGUGAAAUGCGCAGAUAUCGGGAGGAACACCAAUUGCGAAGGCAGCUCGCUGGGACGUUACUGACGCUGAGACGCGAAAGCGUGGGGAGCAAACAGG
rnacentral:rRNA from 1 species